rnacentral:lncRNA from 1 species
CUCUAUCGAAAUUUAGGAAAAUUUACUAAUUACUAAAUAAAAUCUAAAUUUUGUGAGUACUUGAGUUCUUUCAAUUUUUGGUUUCCAUAGAGAAAUUAGAACUUUCCCCAUUGAAAGUUAGAGUUUUCGUUUUGUGUUCGGUUCAAAUUAAGAGUUCACUCUCUUAACAACUAAGGGUUCAAUCGAAGAUAGCGAAGAAGAUCAGUUGGUAGAAAAAAAAAUCGGUAGG